rnacentral:tRNA from 13 species
GUUUUCAUUGCUUAGCUGGUUAAAGCGCCUGUCUCAUUAACAGGCGAUCACGAAUUCGAAUCUCGUCGGUGACA